AAAAAAAAGCUAGCGGUAAUUGAACAACAAAUGAUGAGCAUUGCUGAUGGUGUUUGUUGUUCGAAUUGCGUGGUGGGCUGGAUCAACCGCUCCGGAACAAACUCUUCAGAUCAUUCACUCCAGAUCAAUCGCUCUGGAAUGAAUGCUCGGGAUCAUUGGCUCCAGAACAAUUGCCUCGGGAACAAGCGCUCCGGAUCAAAUGCCCCAAUCAAUCGGCAAAUUGAAGCCAUGAGCAUUUUUUUUCUUUUUCUUUUUGAAUCUAUCCCAUUUGUUGUUGGGCUUCCACUGUGGCCUGGACCGAUUGAAUCAAAUGCUUCAGAAUACAAUCCUCAAAAUCGUAUGCUUCCCAAUGGUUCCGGAUCACUCGCUCCCAAACA